rnacentral:rRNA from 1 species
GACGAACGCUGGCGGCGUGCUUAACACAUGCAAGUCGAACGGAAAGGCCCUGCUUUUGUGGGGUGCUCGAGUGGCGAACGGGUGAGUAACACGUGAGUAACCUGCCCUUGACUUUGUGAUAACUUCAGGAAACUGGGGCUAAUACCGGAUAUGAGCUCCUGCUGCAUGGUGGUGGUUGGAAAGUUUCGGCGGUUGGGGAUGGACUCGCGGCUUAUCAGCUUGUUGGUGGGGUAGUGGCUUACCAAGGCUUUGACGGGUAGCCGGCCUGAGAGGGUGACCGGCCACAAUGGGACUGCGAUACGGCCCAGACUGCUACGGGAGGCAGUAGUGGGGAGUAUUGCACAAUGGGCGGAAGCCUGAGGCAGCAACGCCGCGUGCGGGAUGACGGCUUUCGGGUUGUAAACCGCUUUGGCCUGUGACGAAGCGGGAGUGACGGUAAUGGGUAAAGAAGCACCGGCUAACUACGUG